rnacentral:tRNA from 1 species
GGGGGUUUGGUAUAAUGGCAUUACAGUAGUCUCCAAAACUUUUGAUAAGGGUUCGAUUCCUUUAACCCCCG